rnacentral:rRNA from 1 species
UUGACCUCGGAUCAGGUAGGAGUACCCGCUGAACUUAAGCAUAUCAAUAAGCGGAGGAAAAGAAACCAACAGGGAUUGCCUCAGUAACGGCGAGUGAAGCGGCAAAAGCUCAAAUUUGAAAUCUGGCUCCAUGCGGAGCCCGAGUUGUAAUUUGGAGAGGACACUUCGGGUGCGGCCACGGCAUAAGUUCCUUGGAACAGGACGUCAUAGAGGGUGAGAAUCCCGUCUUUGGCUGCUGGACCGCGCCCAUGCGAAGUUCCUUCGACGAGUCGAGUUGUUUGGGAAUGCAGCUC